rnacentral:rRNA from 1 species
GACGAACGCUGGCGGCGUGCUUAACACAUGCAAGUCGAACGGACAGGCCCUGCUUUUGUGCCGUUCUCGUUUGGCGAACGCGUGAGUAUCACGUGAGUAACCUGCCCUUGUCUUUGGGAUAACUUCACGAAACUGCGGCUCUUACCGCAUAUGAGCUCCUGCUCCAUAUUGGGGGUUGGUAAGUUUCGGCGGUUGGGGCUGGACUGGCGGCUUAUCCGCUUGUUGGUGGGGUAGUGGCUUACCAAGGCUUUGACGGAUAGCCGGCCUGAGAGGGUGACCGGGCACAUGGGGACUGAGGUAGGGACCAGAAGGGUACGGGAGGCAGCAGGGGGGAAUAUUGCACAAUGGGGGGAAGCCAGAUGCAGAAACGCCGCGAGCGGGAUGAUGGGCUACGGGUGAUAAACAGCUGUCGAAGGUGAUGAAGAGUGAGUGACGGUAAUGGGUAAAGAAGCACCGGCUAACUACGUG